rnacentral:lncRNA from 1 species
AUUGAGACCAUCCUGAGCAACAUGGUGAAACCCUAUCUCUACUAAAAGUACAAAAAAUUUGCCGGGCGUGGUGGUGCGUGCCUGUUGUCUCAGCUACUCAGGGGACUGAGGCAGGAGAAUUGCUUAAAACCGGAAAACGGAAGUUGCAGUGAGCUGGGAUCGCGCCACUGCAUUCCAGCCUGGUGACAGAGCCAGACUCUGUCUCAAAGAAAAACAAACAAACAAAAAAACAAUGACGAAACACAGUAAGUUCACAAGAUGGGGUUUCACUAUGUUGACCAGGAUGGCCUCAAACUCCUGUCCUCAGGUGAUCCACCUGCCUUUGCCUCCUGAAGUGCUGGGAUUACAGGCACGACCCACAGCACCCAGCCAGAAGAGAUACUUAUGCAAAGAAAGAUAUUAUUCACAAAAGACCGAUUCUUAUGGAUUCUGGAGGGACAUGAAUGGAGCUGGAAGAUGUUAUUCUCAGCAAAGUAACACAGGAGAAGAAAACCAAACACUGCAUGUUCUCACUUAUAAGUGGAACCUGAAUGAUGAGAACACAUGGACACGGGGAGGAACACUCUCCUGGUAAGGGAAGAUUGCCUCAACUGAGCGCGUGUACAACUCCAGUGAACACACUGUGCAUGCAACCCUACCAAGUUCCAGCAGGCCACUCUGUGUAGGGACAGCCUACCCCAAUGGAACAAUCGAGAGAAAAAGAACACAACAUCCCUGGAAGCAUGCCAAUGGAUAAAACCCCAAGUUAAAGGUCAAACAGUGCAUUUGAAUAUCUCAAGUCGCCUGUGUGGCCCUCUUCCAAGUGCAUUUUACUUCCUUUUGGUCCUGCUCUAAUACUUUUUAAUAAAAGUUUAU